GAUGAACGCUGGCGGCGUGCCUAAUACAUGCAAGUCGAGCGAACAGACAAGGAGCUUGCUCCUUUGACGUUAGCGGCGGACGGGUGAGUAACACGUGGGUAACCUACCUAUAAGACUGGGAUAACUUCGGGAAACCGGAGCUAAUACCGGAUAAUAUUUCGAACCGCAUGGUUCGAUAGUGAAAGAUGGUUUUGCUAUCACUUAUAGAUGGACCCGCGCCGUAUUAGCUAGUUGGUAAGGUAACGGCUUACCAGGCGACGAUACGUAGCCGACCUGAGAGGGUGAUCGGCCACACUGGAACUGAGACACGGUCCAGACUCCUACGGGAGGCAGCAGUAGGGAAUCUUUCCGCAUGGGCGAAAAGCUGACGAAGCACGCCGCGUGAGUGAUGAAGGUCUUCGGAUCGUAAAACUCUGUAAUAAGAAAGAACAUACGUGUAAGUAACUAUGCCCGUCUUGACCGUACUUAAUCAGAAAGCCACGGCUAAUACGUGCCAGCAGCCGCGGUAAUACGUAGGUGNCAAGCGUAUCCGGAAAUAUUGGGCGUAAAGCGCGCGUAGGCGGUUUUUUAGUCUGAUGUGAAAGCCCACGGCUCAACCGUGGAGGGUCAUUGGAAACUGGAAAACUUGAGUGCAGAAGAGGAAAGUGGAAUUCCAUGUGUAGCGGUGAAAUGCGCAGAGAUAUGGAGGAACACCAGUGGCGAAGGCGACUUUCUGGUCUGUAACUGACGCUGAUGUGCGAAAGCGUGGGGAUCAAACAGGAUUAGAUACCCUGGUAGUCCACGCCGUAAACGAUGAGUGCUAAGUGUUAGGGGGUUUCCGCCCCUUAGUGCUGCAGCUAACGCAUUAAGCACUCCGCCUGGGGAGUACGACCGCAAGGUUGAAACUCAAAGGAAUUGACGGGGACCCGCACAAGCGGUGGAGCAUGUGGUUUAAUUCGAAGCAACGCGAAGAACCUUACCAAAUCUUGACAUCCUUUGACAACUCUAGAGAUAGAGCCUUCCCCUUCGGGGGACAAAGUGACAGGUGGUGCAUGGUUGUCGUCAGCUCGUGUCGUGAGAUGUUGGGUUAAGUCCCGCAACGAGCGCAACCCUUAAGCUUAGUUGCCAUCAUUAAGUUGGGCACUCUAAGUUGACUGCCGGUGACAAACCGGAGGAAGGUGGGGAUGACGUCAAAUCAUCAUGCCCCUUAUGAUUUGGGCUACACACGUGCUACAAUGGACAAUACAAAGGGCAGCGAAACCGCGAGGUCAAGCAAAUCCCAUAAAGUUGUUCUCAGUUCGGAUUGUAGUCUGCAACUCGACUACAUGAAGCUGGAAUCGCUAGUAAUCGUAGAUCAGCAUGCUACGGUGAAUACGUUCCCGGGUCU
rnacentral:rRNA from 1 species